CUUAGCCCAAGAUGGAUCAAACUGUGAUCUUCCUUUGGGUGCUACUCUCAGCAUCAGGAGUGAAAUCUGCCACAACAGUAGCUAAAGGUAGCUACAGUUGUGGCAAGACUUUCACAGAUCCAUCGAGGUCAUUUUCUCCCCCAUAUUACAAUGGUGGUGGAGACGUCGUAGAGUGUCUCUGGACAAUUGU